CGCGUAGGCGGAAAGGAAAGUCAGAUGUGAAAUCCCGGGGCUCAACCUCGGAACAGCAUUUGAAACUCCCAUUCUAGAGGGUAGGCGGAGAAAACGGAAUUCCACAAGUAGCGGUGAAAUGCGUAGAUAUGUGGAAGAACACCGGUGGCGAAGGCGGUUUUCUAGCUUACUCCUGACGCUGAGGCGCGAAAGCAAGGGGAUCAAACA
rnacentral:rRNA from 1 species